CAUUUUUAAGCAAUCACAAUAUACUUUUAAGUAUAAAUGAGACAUAAAAUCUCCUUAAAACAAA
rnacentral:tRNA from 1 species